AUGAACGCUAGCGACAGGCCUAACACAUGCAAGUCGAGGGGCAGCACAAGGAGCAAUCUGAGGUGGCGACCGGCGCACGGGUGAGUAACACGUAUGCAACCUGCCUGUAAGCGGGGAAUAACCCGUUGAAAGACGGACUAAUACCGCAUAAUACUAAAUUACUGCAUGGUAAUUUAUUUAAACAUUUAUGGCUUACAGAUGGGCAUGCGCAUGAUUAGCUAGUUGGAGAGGUAACGGCUCCCCAAGGCAACGAUCAUUAGGGGUUCUGAGAGGAAGGUCCCCCACACUGGUACUGAGACACGGACCAGACUCCUACGGGAGGCAGCAGUGAGGAAUAUUGGUCAAUGGACGAGAGUCUGAACCAGCCAAGUCGCGUGCAGGAAGAAUGUCCUAAUGGAUUGUAAACUGCUUUUGCAGGGGGAAUAAAGUGCAUCACGUGUGAUGUUUUGUAUGUACUCUGCGAAUAAGGAUCGGCUAACUCCGUGCCAGCCGCUGC
rnacentral:rRNA from 1 species